rnacentral:tRNA from 1 species
GGGCAUUUGGUCUAGUGGUAUGAUUCUCGCUUCGGGUGUGAGAGGUCCUGAGUUCGAUUCUCGGAAUGCCCC